GAAAAGGGAGGGAUUUGCUUCAUGCAAAGUAUCUCCAGCCCUUCCAUUUCUCCACCUCAGGCCUUGGAGGCCUUGUAAUUGAGGGUGGAUCCAGGUCAUUUGAAGUAGAAAAGGAGAAGUUUCCAUUGAGCAGAAAAUCUCCAGCUUUCCUUUCACUACCGCAGGUCUUCAAGGCCUGAAAAGAGAAUAUUUGAGCUAGAAAAGGAGAAAUUUGCUUCAUGCAAAAAUGAUCCCAUUAAUUUGCCUACCUAAGGUCUUCAAGACCAGAAGACAAAAUAUGUGAGCUGGAAAAGGAGAGAUUUACUUCCUGCCGAAAAGCCCCUGCUUUUCUCAACCUGAGGUCUUUAAGGCCUGUAAAUUGAAGAUAUGAGGGAGAAGUGGAGAAAUUUGCUCCGGCACUACUCCAGAAAGGGCCCUCUUCCUCCACAGUAUGUUCACCUCUAGAAGAACAGAGGAUGAAGGUAAAUCAGAUGCUGGUCGGGUUUGGAGGAAAUUCCGGCUAUUGGUUAAGAGGAACGUGUUCUGGACCCAGGGCUCAGUCUCGAGCCUCGGGUCCAGGAUCGCGGAGGGCAAUAGGAGACAAUUUGAGGUGGAGGAGGAGGGAUUGUGUAUCUUGCUCGAUCCUUGGAAAGCUCAGCUUCAUGUGGAACAGCCUCUCUCCUCUGAUGAUCUCCUGCCUUGGGUCUUCACGGCCCAGGGGUGGGUAGGGAGAAAGUAGCUUCAUGCAACAAUCUCCCGUUGGUUCCAUCAGCUUCCCGCCCUGGCUACUCUGGACUUUGUGGUGGGUGGUGGGGAGGGAGGGCAAUCCCAGAGAACCUCUGCAGGGGCAAAUGGGAGGUGCUCUUCUCGCAGAAUCUCGUGAAAGAUAUGGUCCAGCUGUCUAAGAAAUCCCCAGUUGGUCUUUGUGGCUGCACCUCUGGACCAAGAGAUUAUCCUCCUAGACAAUCUGGGCUUUUUCUCUUGUGAGCCUUCUGGUUAUCGGAGAGGGUAGAGCUGCUCCAGUUCAACCAUGUGGGCUCGUUUUCCGUGCAAAUCGAUUGUCUGGUUUUACAAGGGAAAUCCUUUUCCCAACCAAUUCUACAGUGUUAUGUCAGGAUUACCAUUUCAAAACCCGUCUGAGGAGAGCACAACCGAGAGAACUCCUUGUCCUUCUCUAAAUCCUGGGUGCCCAACUCAAUGGUCAAUGGAAUGUUAUUUUUCACUCAUUCGGUUGACAUAAAACAACUAAAAGAUUGAUGCAGUCCAUCCCACCGGCAUUUCAAAAUAGCUAAAUAGCAAUAAAAUAGGUAAAUAAAAUGAAAUAAAAUCUAAACAAAUGUAAAAAGCAACUAGGUGUUGUACAGUGAAAUACAAUAAAAUAGUUUAAAAUCAAAGUUAAUAGUAAAAUCACUAACAUAUAAAAUCACUGACAUAUAAAUACAUAUACAGCACUCAUUCCGUUGAACAUAGACGUCUGGGAUUUCUUUGGAUAAAAAAACAAAACCGUGCCUUGGAAGACCAAAAAUGGCGAGGCUGAUCUCUCUGUUCUUUCUAACGGGAUUAGAUGAUGGGCUUUGUGAACACAAACUGACUAUAACGCUGUAGACGCCCCCCCCCCCCCCAAAAAAUGAAAGUUCAAGGGAAAACUCAGUCCCAUUUCCAAGCAAUUUGACUUGACUGACUUUGAUUAAGAAUGUCUGUCAUAUGGAGCAUUUUGCCUUCAAGGUUUUGCAUCUGUACAGAUUUGGGGGGCUGCUACUCGGGGCUGGAACUUGCCUGUCUGUGGUAGGCACUGGUAGGAGCAGUGGUAAGUGUGGGCCUGGAGGUCUAAAUGUACCAAUUCCUAUGAAGGGGGUGUUUGGGGAAGGUGUUGGUUGAGGGGAGGGAGGAUUCAAGGGAUAUCCUCAGGGUGGCCCUGGGACCUGGCAAAGUGUUGCCUUGAUGAAUGUCAGUGCAUUUACACCUGCCUUAGCUUUUCCCCUUCCAAAUCUGCUGGUAAGGUUUUUGUUCCCCACAUUCAGCAAGGAGAGAAUCAGUGUUCCCAGAUCCAGGGGACAAGGUGAAGUGAAGCUGCAUCCGGCAGGUCAAGAUGGAGAAUUCAAGUGUGGCGAAUGCACCCCAACAUUCGAGGACCACAGCCCUUCAGUCCCGGCAGCUGUACCUUCCUCCUGGACUCUCUGCAGCCUGAGGGAAGCCAUCCAGAAGCCAUCCUGACUCCACCCCAACCCCUGCCAACCCAACGACCCGGGCCUCAGGAGGGCAACCAUCCCUCCGGACUCUACCUCUGAGCCAGCCAAUGCACCCCAACAUUCGAGGACCACAGCCCUUCAGUCAUGGAAGCCCUACCUUCCUCCUGGACUCUCCGCAGCCUGAGGGAAGCCAUCCAGAAGCCAUCUUGACUCCACCCCAACCCCCGCCAACCCGAUGACCCAGGCCUCAGGAGGGCAACCAUCCUGAAGCUCUCCUGACCUCACCCCAACCCCACACAACCUGAAGACCGAAGCCUCGGGUUGUCUUCUUGGUCCUGGGGUUGUUUCUGACCACCCCCAGAGCCUCCGUCCCACCUGUCCCUGCCCCUCCUUCCCCCUUCCUCCCCCCACCUCUACAUCCUGUUCCUCCUCCCCCAGAUAUUCAGAGAAAAUCUUUUCUUCCCCCAAACCUCUG